AAAACAAACCCAGUCAUUCAUCCAGCAGCUCUGUCUUUAAGGUGUCCCUCCAUCCUCCCUUCCUGCUCCUGCUCAGUUCUGAACUGCCCCUGUAGUGGGAGACUGAUGAAGCUGUUCAUUUUUGCCUGGAGGGGGAGGGGCCCAUUUCCCCUCAGAAACAAGCUAACAUUAGUCCAGGGCCAGGGAAGUACAAGUAUCGAUGGCUGAUCUCCGGAAUUUGACUGGAGUUCCACUGCCCAGACGUCACUUAACAAUUUACAUUCCAUUUUUCACCCUGAGUCCACACUACAUCUCUCUGUCAUAUAAUCCCGUCUGGCGCCCAGCCCUGCUAGCUAUCUGUCCUGAUGAAGUUUAAAAACUGAACAUUUCUCCCACUUGCGGCUCUGAGCUUGUUUUAGUAGAUGACUGCUCAUGGCAGAGGUGACCCAUUAAAUUCAGAAGAAGGACCACGACAAAAGAACCGCCUGAACGCCCACCCUUCUGCACCCUCCCUCCACCAGAUCUGGGGAAAAAAGAAACUGGCACACUUGCCUCCCUGCUGCUGCCCUGUUCAGCACGCUCACUUCACGAGCUCCUACAGAUGAAAGUGUAAUUGUGUGGAAGGUGAAUUGAUUGCAAUUAACCUCGGGACUUACCCUCAGGCUGGGGUAUUCUACCUUCUUUUCUAGGGACGUGCCACCGGGGCCAUAAUACAUAGCUGAUGAAUACAUAUAUCAUACAGGGAAACACAUAUAUUAUGGGAUAAAGUACAUAAAUCAUGUAGAAAAACAUGCAUUAUACGGAGAUGAUCAAAUUAUAAAUGAAGCACAUAAAUCAUAAGAUUACACUGUUGAAUUGUAUCAGGAAACAUAAAUUAUAUAGUGAAAUCCCAGGGUCACUGGAGGGUUCACUGAAUAAUGAAAUGAGCUCCUAUAACUUAAGGAAAAGUGGAGUAACUCGGUGAAAAAUCCAUUGUGCAUUAUGUUGAAUAUUCCAUUUAAUCCAAUUUUAUCUCCUAGACCUCCUGUGCCCAAGAAUCCAGGUGGCACACCAAGAGGGAGGGGACUACAUGCACAGCAAAUCAAUAUUGAGGGAUAAUGUACUCCAGCUACAUUCAAAAUAUAAACUUUCAAAUAUAGUAAACAUCUGUAGCUGAAUUCUCGAGUCCAUGUUGGAAAGGAUGGCAGUUCUAAAGUCAGCUGCAAAUAUCAAAAGGGCUACGUCUUGUUCCAAAAUGAAGAACGUCUUGAAUCUCAAGACGAUCCUAAAAAGAAAGAGACAAAAUUAAGAUUGGUUUGCUCUACGUGUAGAGAAGCAAUUGAAAUUUGGAUUGAUUCAUUGCAUUGAAUAAGGAAGAACAAAAACAUUUAUUUUAAAUUAUGCAUAUAUAAAGACUUUGCUUACCUUCCCUUGGGAUCAUUUUUCACAUUUGACUUUGUUUUUUUUCCCUUUACUUCUCUGUACCUUUGUUCACGCCUGUAUUAAUAGGAUGAAAGGGAAGCAAAAUGGAGAAGAGAAUUCUUUAACUUAGUUUUGCUUUUUAAAGGAAAGUCACAAGCUGGUAGAGGCCAUUCUGUGAGGCUUUAACAGAAGCCCGGGCAAAGACAGACUUUCACACACAAUACAGAACAAUGAUACAAAUCAGAUCAAUCUCACAAAGUUUCCCAGUGCAAUGGUCAUCCACAUGAAUUAUGUCCUCACUAAAGCAAGGGCCCGGAAUUCACAUCCGUCCGCAGCACUGGUGACUUAGGGUUAUGGUCAAAGCCUGGUGUACUGAGGGAUUCCUUAGUCGUAAACAAAGUGUUUGACCCCCUCUAUUCCUCAGGGCAAUAGAGAGCCCGAGCUAACUGAAUUUAUACAGUGGGAAUUGAUAGUUUAUUGCUGACCCUGGAGGGGCAGGGGCACUGACUCACAUCCUAUUUCUGGCUUUUCUUGGCAUUUGUUACUGCAGAUAAAGGUAGAUUGUGUCAAGAUGUGCUGCUGGUCCUGGAAUACAAUCGUGUCAAAACGCAAGUGCUAAAUUAUUUGAAGGGGAGCAAUAAAUUGGCACCCCCACACA
rnacentral:lncRNA from 1 species